AGUGAACGCUGGCGGUAGGCCUAACACAUGCAAGUCGAACGGCAGCACAGUAAGAGCUUGCUCUUACGGGUGGCGAGUGGCGGACGGGUGAGGAAUACAUCGGAAUCUACUUUUUCGUGGGGGAUAACGUAGGGAAACUUACGCUAAUACCGCAUACGACCUACGGGUGAAAGCAGGGGAUCUUCGGACCUUGCGCGAAUGAAUGAGCCGAUGUCGGAUUAGCUAGUUGGCGGGGUAAAGGCCCACCAAGGCGACGAUCCGUAGCUGGUCUGAGAGGAUGAUCAGCCACACUGAAACUGAGACACGGUCCAGACUCCUACGGGAGGCAGCAGUGGGGAAUAUUGGACAAUGGGCGCGAGCCUGAUCCAGACAUACCGCGUGGGUGAAGAAGGCCUUCGGGUUGUAAAGCCCUUUUGUUGGGAAAGAAAGCAGCAGGUUAAUACCCCGCUGUUCUGACGGUACCCAAAGAAUAAGCACCGGCUAACUUCGUG
rnacentral:rRNA from 1 species